UACGUAGGUGGCGAGCGUUGUCCGGAUUUACUGGGCGUAAAGCGCGCGCAGGCGGCAUGCCAAGUCUGGGGUGAAAUGUCCCGGCUCAACCGGGAAGCGUCUCCGGAUACUGGCAGGCUUGAGGGGAGCAGAGGAGAGCGGAAUUCCCGGUGUAGCGGUGAUAUGCGUAGAUAUCGGGAGGAACACCAGUGGCGAAGGCGGCUCUCUGGGCUCUCCCUGACGCUGAGGCGCGAAAGCGUGGGGAGCAAACCGGAUUAGAAACCCUGGUAGU
rnacentral:rRNA from 1 species